UACGUAGGGUGCAAGCGUUAAUCGGAAUUACUGGGCGUAAAGCGUGCGCAGGCGGUUGUGCAAGACAGAUGUGAAAUCCCCGGGCUUAACCUGGGAACUGCAUUUGUGACUGUACGGCUGGAGUGCGGCAGAGGGGGAUGGAAUUCCGCGUGUAGCAGUGAAAUGCGUAGAUAUGCGGAGGAACACCGAUGGCGAAGGCAAUCCCCUGGGCCUGCACUGACGCUCAUGCACGAAAGCGUGGGGAGCAAACAGG
rnacentral:rRNA from 1 species